UGCUGCAGUUGUUUUCUUCUAUAUAAUGAGAACUUGAGAAGUAGUCUUCACCGUUCACUUAUUUCUUGUCUGAAAUAACCACAGCAUGGAUCACUCACCACCAAAGCCAUCAGUUAUGCCCAAAGACCAGCCUGCUGGACACUGUUGAGCCAAAAAAGGCCUUGCAACUGAUGAGAACGUUGAGACCUGCAACCCGUUUACCAGUCCGUUGACAUCCGACUUACAAUGU
rnacentral:lncRNA from 1 species